rfam:Podospora anserina genomic DNA, chromosome 3.
GGUUCUAUAGUGUAGCGGUUAGCACUUCGGAUUCUGAGUAUCAGAGCCAUUCCGGCAACCCCGGUUCGAGUCCGGGUAGGACCU